AGGUCACACCCGUUCCCAUCCCGAACACGGAAGUUAAGUUUCUCAGCGUCGAUGGUAGUAGGGGGCUUCCCCCUGUGAGAGUAGAUCGUUGCCAGGC
rnacentral:rRNA from 1 species